GCACAAGCGGUGGAGUAUGUGGUUUAAUUCGAAGCAACGCGAAGAACCUUUACCAGGUCUUGACAUGGUGUUUAAGGCCCUAGAGAUAGGGAGAUAAUAAACACACACAGGUGGUGCAUGGUUGUCGUCAGCUCGUGUCGUGAGAUGUUGGGUUAAGUCCCGCAACGAGCGCAACCCUUGUCUUUAGUUACCAUCAUUCAGUUGGGGACUCUAGAGAGACUGCCGGUGAUAAACCGGAGGAAGGUGGGGAUGACGUCAAAUCAUCAUGCCCCUUAUGACCUGGGCUACACACGUACUACAAUGGCGCAUACAACGAGCUGCGAGAUGGUGACAUCAAGCGAAUCUCUUAAAAUGCGUCUCAGUUCAGAUUGGAGUCUGCAACUCGACUCCAUGAAGUCGGAAUCGCUAGUAAUCGCGGAUCAGCAUGCCGCGGUGAAUACGUUCUCGGGGUUU
rnacentral:rRNA from 1 species